GGAUUAGAUACCCUGGUAGUCCACGCCGUAAACGAUGUAUACUAGGUGUUGGCCUUUUGGUCAGUGCUGCAGUUAACGCAUUAAGUAUACCACCUGGGGAGUACGUCGGCAACGAUGAAACUCAAAGGAAUUGACGGGGGCCCGCACAAGCGGUGGAGCAUGUGGUUUAAUUCGAUGAUACGCGAAGAACCUUAUCCUAGAUUUGACAUGCUUGAGAGUCUCUAUGAAAGUAGAGAGUGCCCUUCGGGAGCUCUUGCACAGGUGCUGCAUGGCUGUCGUCAGCUCGUGCUG
rnacentral:rRNA from 1 species